GUUAUUUUUUAAGAAUUUUUCUAUGUCAAAAUUCAACCAUUUAUCAAGUUCUCGUGUAUUAACCAGAAAAUGGUUGAUAAAUUUUACGUUUUUUCUACGCCAUAUUGGAAGCUACCGUGGAGUGAACCGAAGGUGUUUCGGAUUUAAUUUGUUCGCACGAAUAAAACAGGGCUGGAGAGAUUCUAAAGUGCACUUAUUGGACGAAUCUGCGGCAAUCCGGUUCCAGUUCCAGAUCCAACGGCACCGAACGCGGGACUACCUACUUCCGGAACGAGCGCACCGAACAUUCCUCAUAACAUUCGGAUGAAGCUGAGAUGGGUAGACAGCCCAAAAAUCUCCACCCACCGGAGUGGAAUUGCGGUCAUCAUAAGAGUGUGUGCUACAGCUGCUUCAUCAAGAACCUCCCAGAUGCAUUAAGCACAAAGCAGCAGAGAAAAGGAACCGCCUGUCGUAAAGCCGUUUUGGGAAAAAAUCCCUUGUCAGCCAGUCGUCCUCGAAAUAACUCAUAGCAUCGUUGAUGAAAAUGUUAUCCUCAAGAAAUCAGUGGAAAUCAGUCAAAUGUUGACAACCCGGAAUGCGGGCCUCUAGAAAAAACCGAUGGAUUGUAACGCGACCACCUAUCUCAUACGGAAUGCGCUCGGGGGAACCGACUACGGGACACUCGAAACUGUCCCACAUGCUAUCGCUGCCACAGGACAUCGUUCCGCAGGACAUCACCAUCAAUGUGUUUUACUUCGAUUCGGAAUACCUGCGGAACUGCCCUACCUAGCGGCACGAGUUGCAGCCGAAGAAGCUGUCCGGAUCUGUCGUCCUGCAAUAGAUUGAGCAUUUGGGAGCAACUCACUGAUGGAGAACAAAAGGCCGCCGCGUACCAGUUAACGAUCGAAGCCUUCUAGUGUUACCUUAACUACUAAUAAGAAACCGUAAUUAGGUACUAUUUAAACAAAUUCGUUGUUGUAUUUUGUCAGCAUAAAUCAGAGAUGCUCCGAAAGCGUAUUUAAUCGCUAACUACAAAGAUUGUAACACUAAAAAGAAGGACAAAAAAACCACGUAUAUGAAUGAAAUCCCGGGUGAAGGUAAAAGGCGUGAAAAACACAAACAAAAAAUAAAUUUUAAUUUUUCUUCGAAAACAUUUCAAUUUGUUCUAUUUCUACAUUAACAUUCUCCCUCAUUGAUUUAAAAACAACCAUUUUUCAA